GUGGCAGGUGGUAGGAUGAAGUCCAAGCCCAACCAGGUGCAGACCGCAAGGGCUUCAAGAAGCCUACCUGUGGACAGCAGCAGGUGGACAAGGUGUCGUUGGUGAGUAGCAGUUGGUACCCAGAUGCCACAGACUGGAUUGUCCCAGGAGGAGGGAUGGAGCCAGAGGAGGAGCCUGGUGGUGCUGCGGCUGUGAGGGGAAGUGUAUGAAGAGGCUGGAGUCAAAGGAAAAUUAGGCAGACUCCUGGGAGUAUUUGAGAAUCAAGACCGGAAGCACAGAACAUAUGUUUAUGUUCUGACAAUCACUGAAGUAUUGGAAGACUGGGAAGACUCUGUGAAUAUAGGCAGGAAGAGAGGGUGGUUCAAAGAUAUAAUCAAGGGUCUUCAGUGUCAUAAGCCUGUCCACGCAGAGUAUCUGGAAAAACUAAAGCUGGGGUGUUCUCCGACCAAUGGAAAUUCCACGGUCCCUUCCCUCCCAGAUAACAAUGCCUUGUUUGUGACUGCUGCACAGCCCUCUGGGGUGCCAUCCAGUAUAAGAUAGAGAGUUGGGGGCCCCUCCCCCGUCAUGGCAUGGCACAUGUCACAAGGAGAGGCUUUUUUACUUUUCUUCUAACACAUUUGACUGCUGCUGCCAAGCUCUGUAUUUGCUAUGCAGGAAUUUCAAGUAAUCUGCAUGUAUUUCAUCUGCUUUCAAGUCUUUUAAAAUAAAUAACAAAAUAGCAAAAGUAUUUUAAGAUGCCAAAGCCAUGUGGAAUUUUUUUAAAGCCUUAAUUGUACCCCAUUACUUUGGUUUUCAUUUUUAUAGCCUUUUUAAAAUUUUCACUUUUGUC